UACAGAGGGUGCGAGCGUUAAUCGGAAUUACUGGGCGUAAAGCGCGCGUAGGCGGCUUUUCAAGUCGAUUGUGAAAUCCCCGGGCUUAACCUGGGAACUGCAGUCGAGACUGUCUAGCUAGAGUAUGGGAGAGGGAAGUGGAAUUCAGGUGUAGCGGUGAAAUGCGUAGAUAUCUGAAGGAACAUCAGUGGCGAAAGCGACUUCCUGGACCAAUACUGACGCUCAUGUGCGAAAGCG
rnacentral:rRNA from 1 species